UUUUGUUUUUAACAAAUGAUAUAUCUACACUAAGGGAGAUGGGGUGGGCUUAGCCUCACAAUUGACUAGCAAUAAUGUGAUUCAAUGAAUUGUUUAUUAAAUAUUAUUUUCUCUAUUCUUAAUGUAAAUUCUAUAUAAACCAAUUAUAUUAUGUGAAUUCAGAUGUUUUAAUUGGUUUAUGAGGUGUUUCUUCUAGCAUACUUCAAAUAUUUAACUUUCAUUUUGUCAAUUUACGCAUAUAAAUACAUUUAAAACGUGUAAGUCGCGCGUAACACGCCAUGAUUCAAAAAAUGUCUUUUGCACACGCGUGAGGACAUGCGUGAAGGCUAGUAUCUAAUAGAGAGAGAGAUGACGCUUUUUCCCAUAAAAAAUGAGUGGAAAACGAAAAAAAUGGAAUUAUGAAUAUGUAUUGAGAAAUGCUAAGUAGACUCUCUUAAAGUGACACUUUCCUUAGACUUUCUAUCACCUCACAGUUUAACGUUAAUUUUGUGUCAAAUUAUAAAACAUUGUGCAAAAAACAUGAGGAGGUAAAAAAUCCAUGAAGAGUCCUACUUUUAAGAAUCACCUUAGCAUUUCUCAUAUAUGUUUCUUUAUUUUCAUUAAAAUACUCCCAAAACUCGGCUAUUACAUUCAAAAAUGAAAACGUUCAUUUUUCUGUUAAGUGAGUUCUCUUUCCUACGUAAUCACCUUAAUUAUUCACCCAAAAAUAUGUGAGCAAUUGAAUAUCAGAGUGCGCAACGAACAAGACUACAAAAUAAUAGGAAUAUUAUUAAACAAAUGAGAAUGCUGGAAUGGCUACAAAACCCUAAGAGACUACAUUGUGAAUGACUUGUUUUCAUGCUAAACUACAAGCUAUAUUUAUAGAGAGCAAAACCUAAGAAACCCUAACUCAGAUGGGUUAGGCCCAAUUCCUAAACUAACAAGCAAAACCCAAAUACUAAAAUAAACAUAAAUACUAAUAUUUUCCAACACCCCCGGCGGUAAACGACAUGAGUUUGCAAACAAUAAGAUGUGGACUAGCAGACAUGUAAACUUGACUUGACUGGAAAAUUGGCAAAUUUGACUUGAUUCUUGACUUAAUUCUUGACUUGACUUGACUGGCAAACUGGUUCUUGAUUCUUAAUUCUUGCUGGCA
rnacentral:lncRNA from 1 species